UUCUCUGCUGCAAAGUUAUUGUUUUUCACUUUUCAGAUUCUAUUAGCAGUGAGUACUAAGUCCAGCCCACAUUCAAACGGAAUAGAAUUAAGCUCUACCUCCUGGAGGAGGGAGAACUACAUUUACCACUUAAAAUUCCACAGGGAAUAUUUGUCCUUUCUUUCCCAUUUGUUUUCUUGACCAUUUACAUCAGUAUGGAUUCAUGGAAGUUUGUUUUAUUCUUUAGGUUAUAAUCCAGUACUGUCACUAUUUAUUUUGCUACACAGAUUCUUACAACUUUGGUCGCUGGGAGCUUUCUCAGGUUAAUUAUUUUGUCCUUUUCACAUUUCCAUUUUGUUUAAGACUUUUUCUGCUUUUUGUCACUACCACCUGCUCCAGGCUUAGCUUAUGUUUUUCUGCCCCCACCCUACAAUCAGCCACUUCCCAAAGAACUCAUUUCUUUUGUGGAAGAAUAGUGUUAGGAAUCAAGUUUUCAGUGCCCAAAAUGCUUUAGGUUCUUUCAGGGAAGCAGCCCUGCCCAUAAUCCCACUGUUCAAGAAGUAACCACAUGGCUUCACCUACUCAUCUUUGGCCCUGGAAGCAGCUAGAAAGUCCCACCCAUUCUCUUGCUGCCCCAGAAACACUAAGGUGGCCCACCCAUCUACCCUUGGACCCAGAAAAUAGCCAGGAAGCCCUGCACCCUUUUUCCCCAGAAGCAGUCAUGCAAACAUCCCUGAGUAGUUCAGCCUGAAGAGGUCCAGCUGAGCAGAAUUUCCUGAGUGGCCCUGUCUACAGAAGCCCCGUAAGAAGCAACCAGGUGGUCCUAGUCAUGCUUCUAUCAUCCCAAGAAGCAGCUGAGCAGCCUGUUCUCAGAAGCUCAGCCUACUGAGGUCAUGGGAAGCAGACACACAGCUCAGCUCACCUACUCUCAGUUCUAGGAAGCAGAUGGACUGACCUUCUGAGUAAGUAGUCCCACCAAAGGCCUUGUGAAGUCACCUACACAGCCCUUAGACACAGAUAGGGGCCAUCUGUGUCCACUUGUGUGUUCUAGCCCCCAUGUGGCUUUUAGACACUGACAUACACCCCAAUACUUGGCAUACUAAUGGGAUCAAGUAGGUUAUAGCACAGGAUGAUUAAUGGGUACAGGGGUGCAGUUAGACAGGACAAGUAACUUCUAAUGUUCUGCAGCACAGUAAGAUAACCAUUGCUGACAACAAUUAUUUGAAUAUUUCAAAAUAUCUAGUAAAGAGAAUUUUGAAUGUUCCUAGUACAAAAAAUGAUAUAUAUUCAUGUCAAUUACCUUGAUGUGAUCAUUACACAUUGCAUUCAUGUACACUGUACUCCAUAAAUAUAUACAAUUACCGUGUGUUUAUGAAAAAUAAAAAUAAAAAUUUAAAGUUAGUUUUCUUUCACUGAUUGGCAGCUUUUAGAGUAUAAUAUUAUUUUAUUGUGCUUAUAUUUUCAUUGUAAAGCAAUCGAGUUUCUUUUUGAAAUUAGGACAGUUUUAAAUUUUGUAAAAAUUAACAAAGAAAUAAGACCAUUCAACCUACCACUCAGCGAAGGAAUUUUCUCUUUAGCACACGGAUGACAGCCCCAGCAUGAGGAUUCCAGUAACAUGAAGCUCCUGAUGUGGUUCUGUUUUCCUGAAUUGCUCUAGUGACGGUAAAGUUAUUAAAUGUUUAUUGAUUGUUGGACCAAAUGCAUAAACAACUAUCUGUUAUUCUUGUUAAAUAAUGAGGCAAUGGUUAUUUUUAAGUGUUUGUAGUGUCUCAUGCAAUAAUCUAAAGUUUUACUAAGUGCAAAGCACAUUAAGAGAGCAAUUUGUUUAUUAAAAGCAUGGGUUUUUUUUUAAAGCAUGGACUAAAUAUAACUAUAAAAAUGAAAAUAGAAAGUUUUAUAUCAUCUGCAGAGCAGCACUGUUAGAAUGCAAUAAAGACAAAUAAUUAUCCCCCAGAGGAACACUGUUACAACCAUUGCUUAAUUAUGGUUUAUUUUUCCUUGACUCUUGUGGUAAUUAUUCACUCAUUUGUACUGAGAUGAUGACAGCUUUUUAACAGCAUGGUUGCUUUUGUUCCACACACCCCAUGCUUUCCUCUCAUUUUAGCCCUAAGACAAAUUAUUCAACUAUUUUCAGGUCCUAAGUUUAUUUUUAAUGGUGUACAUGUCUAUUUAUAUUUAUGAUUCUCUAAUUUUAAAUAAUUAGGUAUUUUCAUUUUGAUAUUUUAAAAAUAUAUUGAGUGCCAUUUAAAAUGUUAAGGAAUUCUCAGUCUUUCUACCAUACAUAAAUUUAAGUUUGAAAGUGGAGCCAGAAUAGCUUUGGGACUUGGGGUCAUAAGACUUGGGUUGGAAAGGCACAUACUAGCUAUGUGUGAACUUACACAAGUUAAUUAAUCCCUCUGGGCACUCUUCAUUUUUAAGGUACAGUCAGUGGUAAUCACUCUUCUACUUUGUUAUAAGGUUCAAAUGAAAUAAUGACUUUGCACACCAUAAAAUUCUUGUCAGAUAUCAGUCAGCCUCUGUUUUCAUUCAUUCAAAAACUUUUACCAAAUGCAUACUACCUUCCAGGCACUGUGAGAAAUGUACAGAUGUUUGACUAGAAGAUCGUGAUGGCAACAAUGUUUCUCGGGUUUAAAAAUGUACACAAUAAUUCUUAUGUCUAUGUAACAAUAUCAGAGUGUUAUAGUGGUAUUAUGCUUCCUCCAAAUAAACCUUUCUUCAGGUUUACUUUUUAUUAAUUUUGGAAACAAUAAUCUUAUUCUAAUUUUGUAAUAGAUGUAUUAUAGACUGAAUGUUAAUAUUAAAUGAUAGAGCUGAAACUCUGGGUUUGAAAAUAGGAUGCAGAUUAUAAUUUUAUCACUUCUAGACAGAAAAGUCAGAGGACAUUGGUUAGUUUUGUUUUCAAAGUGGUGGAUACUCUCAGGCUUUAUGCCUAGUGCUGACUCUGAUUGACUCUUCCUAUUUGGACUGACAGUGGUCCCAGAUGGAGUUUCAGUACAAAUGGUCAUGGGAAAGACUCCUGAGUUUUUAUUUUUCUUUUUUUUCCAAGAGUUUAUUUCAAAGAAAUUGAAACAGUGGUGAGGACUCCAAGAGCAAGAGAAAUGUGAGCUGUGAUUACAACAGGGGCAGCAAGGAACUGUAAUUACUAAAGGGGCCUCAAGAGACAAUAGGAUAAUAGACUUGAGUUCAGCGAUUCAACAAAUACUUACCUACUUACCGAACAUUCACCAUGAACAAUGCACUGAGCUAGCAAUAGGGAACACAAGAAUGGAUACAGGCCUGAUACUCCUUCCAUGGAGCUUAGAGAAGUGAAGAGUUUUGAAAAGCUCAGAGGACUCUUCUAAGUAGAGAGAAAACAAUAUCUGGGAGGGAUCCGGACAUAAGAAAGUGUAUCAUGUCUUCAAAUUAUUCCUGGAGCGAAAAGGAUACAUACUGAGGUGACAUGUCCUGUAUACCUUUUUAAUCCAUCACAAUCUUUGGCAUUAGGUUGUCCACACAGAGACAAACAUCAGACCUUUUUGGGGAAGUGGGGAUACUGGGAAUUAAAUGUAGGAGCUACCACUGAGCUACCUCCCAAGUCCUUUUUUAUUUUUUUAUUUCUAGACAGAGUCACUAAGUUGCUGAGGGUCUCGCUAAGUUGCUGAGGCUCGCUGAACUUUCAAUCCUCCUGCCCCAGCCCCUGGCAUUGCCGGAAUUAUAGGCAUGCACCACCAUGCCUGGCCACAUAUUUUUGAAUCCAUAAUAAAUGAUGAACAUCAAUGACUCUGGCACCACUGGACCAACUGAAUUUCUAGAGCUUAUCUGGCUUAGGGUGCCAAAAUCUUAGUAUCUUCAAUGAGAAAUUGAAUCUUAUUUGCUAUACAGACUGAUAUGGAAAUAUAAUGAGGUGACAUGUGGGAAGGCAAUUUUUAAAAUGUAAAUACAUCAUCAAAUAUUCAUUGUUCCUCUUUGAGACAAUUGGAGGAAUGGAAAUAACUUGGAAAAGAACCAUAUCCAGGAAGAUUCUAGAUCCAAGAGGAUCAGAAUCCUGGACAUUUUCUUAAUUUUAAUUCUUAUCUUGUCAUGGAACAGGAUGUUUUUGAAGCAAAAAUAGUUGUAUUUGUGUCAAUGUCAGAGUCUCAUAAACUCAGCUUGAGGGAAGAAGAAGAAGUACCCAGCCUAUCAGCUUGAGCAAGGGCAGAGCUGUUGUGCUUGAAGUUUGCAGGCCAAUAUGCCUGGGUUUCACACCAGAGUAGAAAGUGGGCAAUUUGGUUAAAGAAUAGCCACUUUGGAUGUUAUCCCCACUGAAUCAAGCUCAUCCUUUGAUUAUAUACAUAUAGGAAGACAUAUAUGUUAAAAGGAAACUUGUUAAAGUUUUAGUUUGAGUUAUGAGAUAAGAUAUAUAAAAACACAUUAAAAUCUACAAAUAUUUAUAAAAGUAUAAGAAAUUGCUGUCAUUGAUAAUAUUUUUAUUUUUAUAGUGGUCUGAAUCAUUAUAAUCUUAAAGGUGAAGCUUCUUUUAAAAAUGUGCUUUGGGAAUUUCAUUAAAUGGUUUUGAAUGGAAUCCAAGUCUUGAAUAUCUUAAAUGAAUUCCACGGUCUUCUGAAUAUGUUAUAGUGUUGCUUAGGAUAUUAGAUAAUGGAACUGUGACCCUACAGCUUUAGUGAAACUAAUGAUAUUAAUAAAGCCAAAUAGGCCUUUAUCUAGGAUGACAAAACGAAAUUGCACAGCAAUUUUUAUUAACAACCAUUGAGAUAUCCUUGGAAUAAUGCCACAAAGUUGGAAAAGGAAAAAUUAAUUAUUUGAGAGUGCAUUCACAUAUGGCCAUAUGUCUUUUGUUAAAGUACCUGAAGAAUGAGAAGCAGACAAAAAUAAUUUUCUCCACCUACAAGGAACCUGAAUAAAAGUAAAAGCCUUGCAUGAUGUUCUCUAUAAACUUAGAAGCCACUCUCCAUAAGGCUUCAUAUUCCAAAGACCUUGAUUAUUAUCAGUUAAUUUACUGGUUACACCAAGCAUAGCAAAUGAAUUUCAAUUCCUCUGACAAUACUAAUUGAUCCAUAGUGGUUUCUGGGGGCAUUUAUAAAAAGAGACUGUGAUGUGAAACCCAUUCCAAAGCAAAGAUCACUGAUAGGUAUGUUCCAUUAUGAGUCUACGUGGUUAGCAACCCCAGCACAGUUACAGUAAUGGCCCUGUAUUAGGAAAAAGAAAGAUGAAGUACAGGACCAGUUAGUCAUUUAUUCAUUUAUCUAUCCUUUACCUCUUCAAAAAAGACAUGGAAGAAAAUACAGGUAACAUGGUAAGACAAAGAUUUGAGGCAAAAGGAAAGUAAGAUAAAUAGUAAUGUAAGGUCACUACUAAAUGGAAGCUAUUAAACUCUAUAUACUGACCAAAGAGGGCUUAAACUUUGACUCUGAAUUUCCUAAUAAUCAUAUUAAAAAUGGAAGGUGUAAUUAUUUGGUAGAUUCAGAUGAUGUAAAAAAAUAAGGCAGGUUAUACAAGGAAAAUGAAACACAAACAUUUUGCCAUCAAAGUAUAGAAGACAUAAAUUUUAGUCCUCAGUCUGCCAUUUGGUAGCCAUCUGACUUUCUACAAUUUAUUUAACUUGAUUAUCCCAAUGUUUUCAUUUGGCAAAUGUGGAUAAUAAUGCUGUGCAAUAGUUCAGAUCUUAGUUCUCUCCCAUAUGGCAAAGGAUUAGUUCCCAGAAUGGCACUAUUGGGAACUGGUGGGCACAUUAAGAGGUGUGGGACCUAGUGGGAGAUCUGGGUCAUUAGGGGACUGUGGUAUCCAGAUCUCCUCUCUCUUUCAGUUCCCAGCCAUGAAGUGAACAGUUUUGCUCGGUCACACCAUUCCAUCAUGGUGUGCUUCUUUGCCCCAAGCAAUGGGGCCAAUUAGGGACUAAAAACCUCCAAAACUAUGAGUCAGAAAUGAACCUUUGCUUCUUAAAGUUGAUUAUCUCAAGUAUUUGUAUAGAGAUGGAAUGUUGACUGACACAUGCUCCUUUGUGAAUUGUUCUGAAGUUAAGUGAUAAAGUGGUUAUAUUCUUUAUUUUUGCUUUGAAUUACGUAGAUUCAUUGCUAUUAUUUCCUUGCCCCACUCUAGGUCCUGGCCUUGCAAAUGGUACCGGCUCUGCUCCUUUGCCCUCUGGUUUCCUGAUCCAGCCUCCCUUUACCUUUGGCUUCGUUUUUGGUUCAGCCAAAAGGACACAUCCUCUUGCUCCUGCAUCAAGGCUGAAGGUCUAAUUGUAGCAUCUCCCUUUAUGACAACUCCUGAUGAGUUGCAUUCACAAUGCCAGCUCUCGCCAAGCCCCAAGAACAUGGCUACUUCCUCUUUUUCUUUUUGGCCUAUGAGUAGGCUCCUUUAUGUUGCCAUCCCUGGGUGCCUUAGGAUUACUUGCAGGUUUCCUCAGUCCCAUUCAUACUUCUACGCAUGGUGCCUUCAUUAAAUUCUCAAGAGAACCCAAUGUGAGUGUGAAAUCUAUAUUUUGCCAGGCCUCUGACUGAUACAAUAAAUGUUUAUAGCAAAGUUGGAGUGAAGGGAGUAGUGUCCCAUUUUUGAGCUCCUGCUGUAGGCCAACACAGAGCUGGGCACUUUUAUGGCAGAUAAUCAAUGAACGCUAAUAAAUCUAAAGAAAGGAGUAUGAGGCAGAUAAAUCAGAGAAGAGCAAGUGUCACCAAAAUCUGAGACAUGGGAUUAGGAUCCUUUCCAUCAGUUUACCCAUUCUGCCAGCUCAGAAUGUAAACAUAACAAAAAGGGACAUCAGAAUUAAUCAGCUCAAUUAGCCCGAACAACAACAAUAUAAAAUGUUGUCCUAGGUCUGAAUAAAAUUUAAAGAGCAAUAGUGUAUAUAGCAAAGAGCAAGUAUGUGGUAUUUCUUUGUGUAAUUUAAUGUAACUUGGUUGUACGAUGGAGAUGAUCAGGCAUAAACAAAAAUUAAUGGAGUGACUGGUGUUCUCACAGAACUAUCCAUUUCUGGAGUGAUUUAAAAUUUUCAAAUGAUGUUCCAUCAGAAAGAAAGUAUUUCGCAUCCCGUUCACAGACAUCUAUGUGUGCAUAUGCACACGCAAUCAAGUUUAGGAAUGACUUAAAUGAAGAGAAAAAGAAACAAGAAGCCACAAAGUGUAUCAUUCCUAGUGUCUAACACAGGCACAAGUAUAUGGGUGCUAAGUUUGGAUGUUGAAUGUCUCCCAGAGGCCCAUGUGUUGGUCUCAGCCCCCAGCUUGGCAUUAUUGGGGAGUGGUGGAAUCUUUGAGAGGUGGGGCCUAUCCCUGUAGAGUUUUAGGUCAUUAGGGGCAUACAGGUGAAGGGGAUUGUGGGACAUGGCUUCUUCUGAUGUCUCCAUUCCUUGUCAUGAGGUGGAAAGGCUUUGCUCCAGUAUACACUACCCACAGGCCCAAAAGCAACAGGGCCAACCUUCAAAACUGUUAGACAAAACAAUCCCAUUAAUAAGUUAAUUACCUCAGGUAUUUGUUUCAGUAACAGAAUGCUAACAUAGUAGAUAUCCAGAAAAUUCUCUUUUGGGGCCUAUAAACUACCAAAGUCAGAUCAUUUGGUGUGCUUCGCUCAUGAAAGUAUUCUAGUUGUUAUACUGUCAGGAGAGGCCCACUCAGAGCCUUUUUAUUUCAAGUUUUUUGUAGGACAGCAGAGAUACCUUAGAUCCUUUUUGCACAAGUUGUUCUCAUAACCAAAUAUCAAAUAACCACAGUUCUGAGAAGUUUAAGAAAAAAGAUUCAUAAAAUACAAUGUUUCAUGUUUCUUUUUGCUAUAUUUUCCUGCUUUGAGUUCAACAUGUGUAAAUCAUUCUGUUACUAUAAGCUUAAUGAAUGAAGUAAAAAGUAAUAAUGAAAAAAUGUAAUAAUGAAAUAAAGUUUUAAUCACAAUUUUUUUUUGGCAUGAUCAGCUUGAUUAUAUUUGAUAUACACUCAGGGGGGUUUGUAUUUCAGAUGAAACUUUUCUUAAAACGAUUCAUGUGUCCCAGAUGUGACCUAGUUUCAUUCUGGGAAAUGAAUGCUGAGUGUGGCACAGGGAAGUCAAGCAGACAGAGCUAUUUCAGGAGCUAUUAAUGUGGUACACUUAUAGGAAAAAAUAUGUGAAUCCAGCUGGCCAGUGAAAACAUUCCUUGAGCAUAUACUAUGUACUAAGUGACAUUCCAGGAUCCAGAAAUGCAAAUAUAAAGGUCAAAUCCUGAGCUUCAGGAACUCAUGGACUAGUUGAAAAGAAAGACAACAAACUUGUCACUAUGUAAAAGAAAACAAAUGUAAAAGAUAACUUGAAUCUAAUGUAUGAAAUAUGAUAUGUCAAGAGCUUUAUAAUGUUUUGAACAACCAAUAAAAAAAUUAAAAAAAAAAAAGACAAAGCAUAAUGUGUGCAAUCACAGAAGUCUGAAAAAGGUGGAGAAACAUUUUGUAAAAUACAGCUGUUUGUUCUGUCUAAGGAGAGUUCAUGGCCAAGGCUUCACAAAAGAGAUGGAAUCAGAGAAAAUUCUAAAGUUUAAAAUUACAGUUUGGAAACUGUCUUAAAUUAAGUUAUGAUCUAUAGAUGGAAACAUGUCCAUUUGGAUAAAUGAAAAAAAAGAAAGAAAGAAAAUGGAAUAGAAAAUUCAUGGCACAGUUCUAAGCAUAAAAUAAGAACCAUUAAGUGCUUUCUCUUUUUGUCUUGUGUAUUUUUAAAUAAAGGUAAAAUUCACUUAAUGUAAUUUGCACCCUUUUAAUCAUUUUAAAGUGCAUAAUUCAGCGAUGGAUUGAUAAUGUUUUGUAUCUAUCACCACUAUUUAAUUCCAGAAUAUUUUCAACAUUCCCCAAAGAAACCUUUUUCCCAAUGAGCAGUCCCUGGCCUUUUCUCUCCACUCCCUGCCCCGCACUAGCAUACGAAAACCCACUAAUUAACCUGAUUUCUAUCUCUGCCUACUCUGAACAUUUCAAAAAAAUAUGAUCAUAUACGAUGUAGCCUUUUGUAUCCGGA
rnacentral:lncRNA from 1 species